UACGUAGGGGGCAAGCGUUAUCCGGAUUUACUGGGUGUAAAGGGAGCGUAGACGGCAGAGCAAGUCUGAAGUGAAAGCCCGCGGCCCAACUGCGGGACUGCUUUGGAAACUGCCCGGCUAGAGUGCUGGAGAGGUAAGCGGAAUUCCUAGUGUAGCGGUGAAAUGCGUAGAUAUCAGGAGGAACAUCGGUGGCGAAAGCGCUUUACUGGACCAUUAUUGACGCUGAGGAACGAAAGCCAGGGGAGCAAAUGGG
rnacentral:rRNA from 1 species